rfam:Trachymyrmex cornetzi contig49721, whole genome shotgun sequence.
GCCUCGGUAGUCUAAAGGCUUAGGACGCUUGUACGUAAUACAAAAGAUUCGGGUUCAACUCCCGGCCGAGGUA